GAGUUUGAUCCUGGCUCAGGACGAACGCUGGCGGCGUGCUUAACACAUGCAAGUCGAGCGAAGCACUUUUGCAGAUUUCUUCGGAUUGAAGCAAUUGUGACUGAGCGGCGGACGGGUGAGUAACGCGUGGGUAACCUGCCUCAUACAGGGGGAUAACAGUUGGAAACGGCUGCUAAUACCGCAUAAGCGCACAGUACCGCAUGGUACCGUGUGAAAAACUCCGGUGGUAUGAGAUGGACCCGCGUCUGAUUAGCUAGUUGGUGGGGUAACGGCCUACCAAGGCGACGAUCAGUAGCCGACCUGAGAGGGUGACCGGCCACAUUGGGACUGAGACACGGCCCAAACUCCUACGGGAGGCAGCAGUGGGGAAUAUUGCACAAUGGGGGGAACCCUGAUGCAGCGACGCCGCGUGAGCGAUGAAGUAUUUCGGUAUGUAAAGCUCUAUCAGCAGGGAAGAAAAUGACGGUACCUGACUAAGAAGCCCCGGCUAACUACGUGGCAGCCGCCGCGGUAAUUC
rnacentral:rRNA from 1 species